CCUACGGGAGGCUGCAGUAGGGAAUAUUGCUCAAUGGGGGAAACCCUGAAGCAGCAACGCCGCGUGGAGGAUGAAGGUUUUAGGAUUGUAAAGUCCUUUUGUUAGAGAAGAUAAUGACGGUAUCUCACGAAUAAGCACUGGCUAACUCCGUGCCAGCAGCCGCGGUAAUACGGAGGGUGCAAGCGUUACGCGGAAUCACUGGGCGUAAAGAGUGCGCAGGCGGGUUUGUAAGUCAGAUGUGAAAUCCUGUAGCUUAACUACAGAACUGCAUUUGAAACUAUAAGUCUAGAGUGUGGGAGAGGUAGGUGGAAUUCUUGGUGUAGGGGUAAAAUGCGUAGAUAUCAAGAGGAAUACUGAUUGCGAAGGCGACCUACUGGAACAUUACUGACGCUCAUGCACGAAAGCGUGGGGAGCAAACAGGAUUAGAUACCCCUGUAGUC
rnacentral:rRNA from 1 species